rnacentral:lncRNA from 1 species
AUUACAAAAAAAAAUUAUAUAUAUAUAAAGAUCCAAAGCUGAGUUGAUUACAUGAUGGACACCUAAUUAUAGAUGGAAAAGACCGAUAAUCCAGCAUUACCCAGUUAAGUACGUUCAGGACUCAGGUGUGUUGGCGGAAAAUCCUCCCCGACGUGAUCGAUCCGACGUUUGCUAUGUUUAAGCGAAGGCAAAAGUAACACGUUACCCCUUGUUCUUCCUUAACCAACCUUUUCUGUUCCUUUCACCUUUCAGCGGAAGAAAAUUAUGCCCGGAAGCCCGAUUACCUAUCUAGAAAACAUAGUUAGAGACCUUCGAAGCCCAGACUUCUGCCAUUUGCCAACUGCUAUGUAUUGUUCCCUUUGCUUUUCGCGCUAUUGUUCCAGGUGAUCGAUCAAGGAUAAGACAUUGAAAUGGAAUGGCCAAUCGUCAUCCAACUGAAAAGGGCUAGCUGGUUGUUCAGAUAUUACCGCAGAUUGCAGAGCCCGAGUUUCUACCAUUAAUUUACCAGCAGAUUUUAUUCCGGGCGAUGAAGAACAAGGCAUUGAAAUGAAAUGACCAACAAAUAACGUUGUAUUUAUUUUCCAAAUGCAAAGGGCAAGCCCAGCUAGCAAUCAGACUGUUAAAGAGACCGCGACGUCAUUAGUUUAGUAGCUAUACAUUA